GUGAUUCUUUUAAUGCCAUAU
rnacentral:miRNA from 1 species